CCCUAGCCCUGAUAACAGUGAAAAUCCUUUUCUUUUUUUCUUUCAAAAAAGAAAAGAUUAUAACGGAUAGCAGGAAAUAGC
rnacentral:sRNA from 1 species